CCCUUAGAGUUUGAUCCUGGCUCAGGACGAACGCUGGCGGCGCGCCUAACACAUGCAAGUCGAACGAGAGAUGAGGAGCUUGCUCUUCAAAUCGAGUGGCGAACGGGUGAGUAACGCGUGAGGAACCUGCCUCAAAGAGGGGGACAACAGUUGGAAACGACUGCUAAUACCGCAUAAGCCCACGGCUCGGCAUCGAGCAGAGGGAAAAGGAGUGAUCCGCUUUGAGAUGGCCUCGCGUCCGAUUAGCUAGUUGGUGAGGUAACGGCCCACCAAGGCGACGAUCGGUAGCCGGACUGAGAGGUUGAACGGCCACAUUGGGACUGAGACACGGCCCAGACUCCUACGGGAGGCAGCAGUGGGGAAUAUUGCACAAUGGGGGAAACCCUGAUGCAGCGACGCCGCGUGGAGGAAGAAGGUCUUCGGAUUGUAAACUCCUGUUGUUGAGGAAG
rnacentral:rRNA from 1 species